AUACGUAGGGGGCAAGCGUUAUCCGGAUUUACUGGGUGUAAAGGGAGUGUAGGUGGCAUGGCAAGUCAGAAGUGAAAGCCCGGGGCUCAACCCCGGGACUGCUUUUGAAACUGCCAAGCUAGAGUGCAGGAGAGGUAAGUGGAAUUCCUAGUGUAGCGGUGAAAUGCGUAGAUAUUAGGAGGAACACCAGUGGCGAAGGCGGCUUACUGGACUGUAACUGACACUGAGGCUCGAAAGCGUGGGGAGCAAACAGGAUUAGAUACCCUGGUAGUCCACGCUGUAAACGAUGAAUACUAGAUGUUGGGGCGCAUAAGCGCUUCAGUGUCGAAGCUAACGCGAUAAGUAUUCCACCUGGGGAGUACGUUCGCAAGAAUGA
rnacentral:rRNA from 1 species